GAUGAACGCUAGCUACAGGCUUAACACAUGCAAGUCGAGGGGCAGCAUGGUCUUAGCUUGCUAAGGCCGAUGGCGACCGGCGCACGGGUGAGUAACACGUAUCCAACCUGCCGUCUACUCUUGGACAGCCUUCCGAAAGGAAGAUUAAUACAAGAUGGCAUCAUGAGUCCACAUGUUCACAUGAUUAAAGGUAUUCCGGUAGACGAUGGGGAUGCGUUCCAUUAGAUAGUAGGCGGGGUAACGGCCCACCUAGUCUUCGAUGGAUAGGGGUUCUGAGAGGAAGGUCCCCCACAUUGGAACUGAGACACGGUCCAAACUCCUACGGGAGGCAGCAGUGAGGAAUAUUGGUCAAUGGGCGAGAGCCUGAACCAGCCAAGUAGCGUGAAGGAUGACUGCCCUAUGGGUUGUAAACUUCUUUUAUAAAGGAAUAAAGUCGGGUAUGGAUACCCGUUUGCAUGUACUUUAUGAAUAAGGAUCGGCUAACUCCGUGCCAGCAGCCGCGGUAAUACGGAGGAUCCGAGCGUUAUCCGGAUUUAUUGGGUUUAAAGGGAGCGUAGAUGGAUGUUUAAGUCAGUUGUGAAAGUUUGCGGCUCAACCGUAAAAUUGCAGUUGAUACUGGAUAUCUUGAGUGCAGUUGAGGCAGGCGGAAUUCGUGGUGUAGCGGUGAAAUGCUUAGAUAUCACGAAGAACUCCGAUUGCGAAGGCAGCCUGCUAAGCUGCAACUGACAUUGAGGCUCGAAAGUGUGGGUAUCAAACAGGAUUAGAUACCCUGGUAGUCCACACGGUAAACGAUGAAUACUCGCUGUUUGCGAUAUACAGCAAGCGGCCAAGCGAAAGCGUUAAGUAUUCCACCUGGGGAGUACGCCGGCAACGGUGAAACUCAAAGGAAUUGACGGGGGCCCGCACAAGCGGAGGAACAUGUGGUUUAAUUCGAUGAUACGCGAGGAACCUUACCCGGGCUUAAAUUGCAGAUGAAUUACGGUGAAAGCCGUAAGCCGCAAGGCAUCUGUGAAGGUGCUGCAUGGUUGUCGUCAGCUCGUGCCGUGAGGUGUCGGCUUAAGUGCCAUAACGAGCGCAACCCUUGUUGUCAGUUACUAACAGGUUCCGCUGAGGACUCUGACAAGACUGCCAUCGUAAGAUGUGAGGAAGGUGGGGAUGACGUCAAAUCAGCACGGCCCUUACGUCCGGGGCUACACACGUGUUACAAUGGGGGGUACAGAGGGCCGCUACCACGCGAGUGGAUGCCAAUCCCAAAAACCUCUCUCAGUUCGGACUGGAGUCUGCAACCCGACUCCACGAAGCUGGAUUCGCUAGUAAUCGCGCAUCAGCCACGGCGCGGUGAAUACGUUCCCGGGCCU
rnacentral:rRNA from 1 species